rnacentral:rRNA from 1 species
CCUACGGGAGGCAGCAGUGGGGAAUAUUGGACAAUGGGCGNAAGCCUGAUCCAGCCAUGCCGCGUGUGUGAAGAAGGCCUUUUGGUUGUAAAGCACUUUAAGCGAGGAGGAGGCUACUUAGAUUAAUACUCUAGGAUAGUGGACGUUACUCGCAGAAUAAGCACCGGCUAACUCUGUGCCAGCAGCCGCGGUAAUACAGAGGGUGCGAGCGUUAAUCGGAUUUACUGGGCGUAAAGCGUGCGUAGGCGGCUUUUUAAGUCGGAUGUGAAAUCCCUGAGCUUAACUUAGGAAUUGCAUUCGAUACUGGGAAGCUAGAGUAUGGGAGAGGAUGGUAGAAUUCCAGGUGUAGCGGUGAAAUGCGUAGAGAUCUGGAGGAAUACCGAUGGCGAAGGCAGCCAUCUGGCCUAAUACUGACGCUGAGGUACGAAAGCAUGGGGAGCAAACAGGAUUAGAUACCCUGGUAGUCCAUGCCGUAAACGAUGUCUACUAGCCGUUGGGGCCUUUGAGGCUUUAGUGGCGCAGCUAACGCGAUAAGUAGACCGCCUGGGGAGUACGGUCGCAAGACUAAAACUCAAAUGAAUUGACGG